ensembl:lncRNA
AAAAAAAAAUCAUCAUGAAUUUUGGCAUAAAAAAACGCCUUACUAUACUAUGUCGAAAAAUGUCAUUUUUCAACAUGUGAAAAUGUGCCAUAUGAUGAAAUAAUGUAAAGGAGAUCGUGAAACACACUCCAGAAAGGGUUUCUUUGAAAAAAAAAUCAUCAUGAAUUUUGGCGCAAAAAAAACGCCUUACUAUACUAUGUCGAAAAAAAAUGCGAUUUUUCAAACAUGUCGUAAAAACGUGCCAUAUGAUGAAAUAAUGUAAAGGAGGCCGUGAAAAACAGUCCAGAAAGGUUUUCUUUGAAAAAAAAAUCAUCAUGAAUUUUGGCGCAAAAAAAUGCCUUACUAUACUAUGUCGAAAAAAAAUGCGAUUUUUCAAACAUGUCGUAAAAACGUGCCAUAUGAUGAAAUAAUGUAAAGGAGGC